GUGGUUUCCACCACCAUCCCCACGUGGAUGCUUCCAGCGUCCUGGGAUCUGUUUGAAAUGUUAUAAUCCUGGCCACUGAGCAUGUGGACUUGUUUUAAUUCAUUGUGUUACACAGUUGACCAAGGCCUAUGGUAUGAUAGCGCUUCUGGACCGCUUGAUGACGCCACAUCAAUUAAUGAAUCAAAUCCAAGCGCUCCUGAUUUUCCUAUUUU
rnacentral:lncRNA from 1 species